rnacentral:lncRNA from 1 species
AGAAAGAUGAUUGAUUUUAUGGGUAUUCUUCUCCAUUUAAUUGGUAUUACAAUUUUUUUUUCUUUCUCAAAUCCCCAAAAUCGUUUCUAUUUGUUUUCCUUUCUCCAUAAUCAGAUCCUUUUCAAUCCAUUGUGUAAUUUGAUUUUUCUCACUCGGUCUUUUUCCUAUUCCCAGAAAUUGAUCGGAGAAUCAUGUGUCUCUGUGUAUGGGUUUGCACCCAAAAACUUAUUGGGUAGAAAACGAUACUUCAAGAUCUAAUUUUCUCCGACGAUGCGUCUAAACAUAUGAGGUCCUCGCACCUCUCUCUCUGCUACUUCGAUCAUAACGCCAUGGCUUCCAAAGUGUAUCACGGAAUGUCGCAGUUUCUUAAAUCUCGAAGCAGGAAACCCAGACUCCAUCGCUAACCUCUUCUAUUUUAAUGUAGGGGUAUUUUGGUCAUCUAUUUUUUCUCACUUUCUUGUCUUGCAAACACAAAAAUAUCUUUAGUAUAUGAUUAAUUACUUUAAAAAAAA